rnacentral:snRNA from 1 species
GUGCUUGCUUCGGCAGCACAUAUACAAUUUUGGAA